GAGUUUGAUCCUGGCUCAGGAUGAACGCUAGCUACAGGCUUAACACAUGCAAGUCGAGGGGAAACGACAUCGAAAGCUUGCUUUUGAUGGGCGUCGACCGGCGCACGGGUGAGUAACGCGUAUCCAACCUGCCCACCACUUGGGGAUAACCUUGCGAAAGUAAGACUAAUACCCAAUGAUAUCUCUAGAAGACAUCUGAAAGAGAUUAAAGAUUUAUCGGUGAUGGAUGGGGAUGCGUCUGAUUAGCUUGUUGGCGGGGUAACGGCCCACCAAGGCGACGAUCAGUAGGGGUUCUGAGAGGAAGGUCCCCCACAUUGGAACUGAGACACGGUCCAAACUCCUACGGGAGGCAGCAGUGAGGAAUAUUGGUCAAUGGGCGAGAGCCUGAACCAGCCAAGUAGCGUGCAGGAUGACGGCCCUAUGGGUUGUAAACUGCUUUUAUAAGGGAAUAAAGUGAGUCUCGUGAGACUUUUUGCAUGUACCUUAUGAAUAAGGACCGGCUAAUUCCGUGCCAGCAGCCGCGGUAAUACGGAAGGUCCGGGCGUUAUCCGGAUUUAUUGGGUUUAAAGGGAGCGUAGGCCGGAGAUUAAGCGUGUUGUGAAAUGUAGACGCUCAACGUCUGCACUGCAGCGCGAACUGGUUUCCUUGAGUACGCACAAAGUGGGCGGAAUUCGUGGUGUAGCGGUGAAAUGCUUAGAUAUCACGAAGAACUCCGAUUGCGAAGGCAGCUCACUGGAGCGCAACUGACGCUGAAGCUCGAAAGUGCGGGUAUCGAACAGGAUUAGAUACCCUGGUAGUCCGCACGGUAAACGAUGGAUGCCCGCUGUUGGUCUGAAUAGGUCAGCGGCCAAGCGAAAGCAUUAAGCAUCCCACCUGGGGAGUACGCCGGCAACGGUGAA
rnacentral:rRNA from 1 species